GAAGGGAGAAGGAGAGAGGGGAGAAUGCAGGAAGAGAGGAAUAGGGAGAGAGGGAGGUUGCAUGGAAUCUGUGUAAUGCAUUGGCAGGCAUUUUAGCUCUUAAACAUGAAGAAUUGGGAAUUUGAUAGAUUUGAAAAUUCUAAGUAUCUCCAGAUGUAAGCAACACUGAAAGCAAGAAAUGCAUCUAAGGAAGUUCAAACCCAGGGUGCUGAGUCCCACCCUGCCCUGUGCCUUCUGGGAGAAAACAGUUUAGGGUAUGAUAGCCAGAUAACUUAUUAAGACUUCAGGCAGACAUCCAAGGAGAGUCCUGCCAAUCAGUCUUCUCCCCUCUGAAGUCUCAAGAGUGUGACUCACAAAUCAAACAAUAAGGCAUCCGGAAGGCUAAGUGUGGCUGUACCUGCUUGUACUCCUAGCUUUCCAGACACUGAGACGUGAAGACCAGGAGCUGGAGGCCGGCAUGAUGAGCUACAGUGAGACCCUGUCUAGAAAAACUAAAUGAACAGAUAUUUUUAAAUGACAAGGCUUCUUAGAGGCUCUUGUUGUCUCUCACUAGAAGCUCACGAUAGGAGUUUAUCUCCAUGAGACUUCUCUGCAGAAAAGAAAACCCCAAGGACUCACAAGACAUCCAGGAAACUUCAAAGAACUUCAGCCGUAAGAGCAGUGCUCCAUCGUAGCAGGAUAGAUGAGGGAAGAAAUGAAAAGGAAUGGUUUUGCUCUCUGACUUUUUACAGAAAGCUGAACAAGAAAACUGCCAAUCGGCGCCGGUGUGGCCUCUCACAGAAAUGGAAUGGUGACUCACGGUGCUUACAGGGUGCAGCCCUGCUUCUUGAGAGGAGUAAGACUGGGUCUUAAGGGGCCUACUUUUGUCAUCUAGGCUGUAUCAUCACUGGUCAGUGAUUUCUGUCUCCCAUUCACCUCUUUUGAGCAGUAGUGACUGCAGGUGCUUUUCCAUGCCGCUCUCAGGGUUGUUUGUUGCCUGUGUCAGGAACAGGAGAACUUGUCUCCGCAGUUCUUCAGUCUAAGAUGGAGAAGGAAUGCAUUGAAGCUGUCAUAUUUAGGUACCACAGGAGCAUCGUCUACAACUGGCUCUGACUUAGGUGAUGAGAUUCUGGACUUGAAGCUGGUGAUGAAGUAGGGCAAGACUUUAGGGAUGACAGGAUGGAGUAAGUGCAGCAUACAUGCAGGAGCCACGUAGAUAAGCAGAAACAAGGGCAGACUAUAAUAGCCAGCUUCUUAUGUUAAUAUCCAUCUUCCAGCAUUAGCAUCUUUGCAUAGUUACAGUGUACAAAUACGUCAGAAGGAGACAUCUUGAACUCAUCAAUGGAAUAUGAAAAAGCCUUCCAUAAGCAACGGCAGAGGCUAUGCAGGAAGCAGAAGGACAUCCAUAUCCGUUUCUUCAGAGCGCUACAGAGGUCAUAUCUGAAGAGUUAAUGGCUGAAAUGUUUCUGGAACUGAUGGAAGAUAGCAGUCUACAGACCCCUCCCAAAGCCUGAACAAUAAUCUUAAACAAAUAAAAACCAAUAUAUCAUAUCCCUAGGCAUUUCAUAAUACAAAAGCCACUGAAAAAGAAAAAUAAUCUUUGGAAUCAGCCAAGGGGGAAGACAAGUGACCUGCGAAGGCAUGGCAGAUGUGGGUGGCUCUCCAGAAAUACCAGAGUGGGAGAAUCUCUGAAUUACUCCUGUAAGGUGUGCAGUGAAACACAAAUGUCCCUGGAAUUGCAUCUCCUGUGAAAUGAUUGUUUGGAAUCAUAAAACAAAAUCAUCCAAGCAAAACUUUGAAAAAGGACAAAUGGACUCAGUUGGUUUUUUUUUAAAUAGUUUUAUAUGUAAUAGGAAAUACUGGAAAUAAUGCAAAGUCUGUCAACUGUAAAAGGAGCCACAGCACAUUGCAUCAUGGAGGGUUAUGCAGCAAUAAGGACUGGGGAAUGCCUGUGCAUUGUUCUGUAGGAGUUCUGAGGCAUGUUAACUCUAAACGGCACAUAGGCUAUGCUCACUUUCAUCUGAAGUCAUGAGCGGGAUCAAACCUUAAUGUUUUAAGAAAAAAUCUAGAUAUGAAAAUAGUGAGAAGGAAGGGUGUAUAGAUGUCAGAUUAUCUGAAUAGAUUUGUGCAAUUGCCUUUGGAACAUAAUUACAAAACUGAAUACGUUUAAACAUUUAUUUAAUUUAAUGUAUAUGUGUGUGUGCCUAGGUGUAUGUAUGUGCACAAUAUACAUUCAAAGACUGGAGUCUGUAAGGGCAUUGGAUCCCCAAAACUGGAGUUACAGAUGGUUGCGAGCUACCCGGCGGGUAGUGGGAAUGAAACCUGGGUUCUCUGCAAGAGCUGUACAUCCUUCUAGCUGCUAAGACAUCUCUCUAGUCUCCAAAACUAAAUUAAAAUUUAGAAUGAAUCCUUAGAAUUAAAAGUGAAAUAAACACACCCAACUUUAUAUCAAGUUGGUACUAUAUAAGCACAGUGAGGUUUUAUUUCACGUGCAUACCUCACAAGAAGGAAUUAUUUCAUGUGCAUACCUCACAGUGAGGAAUUAUUUCAUGCGAAUACGUCACAGUAAGGAAUUAUUUCAGGUGCAUACCACACGGUGAGGAUUUAUUUCACAAUAAUACCUCAUAGUGAGGAUUUAUUUCAUGCCUAUACCUCACAGAUAAGAAUUAUUUCACAUACAUACCUCACAGUGAGGAAUUAAUUCAUGCGCAUGCUUCACAGUGAGGAAUUAUUUCACAUGCACCCUGCACAGUGAUGAAUUAUUUCACAUGCAUACCUCACAGUGAGGAUUUAUUUCAUGUGCAUACCUCACAGUGAUGAAUUAUUUCAUAUGCAUACCUUACAGUGAGGAUUUAUUUCACAUGCAUACCUCACAGUGAAGAAUUUUUUAAUGCCUAUACCUCACAAUGAGGAACUAUUUCACGUACAUACGUAACAGUCAGAAAUUAUUUCAUGCACAUAUCUCACAGUGAGGAUUUAUUUCACAUGCACCUUUCACAGUUAUGAAUUAUUUCACAUGCAUACCACACGGUGAGGAUUUAUUUCACAUGUGUAUCUCACAGUGAGGAUUUAUUUCACAUGCAUACUUCACAGUGAAGAAUUAUUUCAUGCCUAUACCUCACAGUGAAGAUUUAUUUAAUGCCUAUAUGCCACAAUGAGGAAUUAUUUAAUGUGCAUACCUCACAGUGAGGAAUUAUUUCACGUGCAUACCUCACAGUGAAGAAUUAUUUCACACGCAUUCCACACAGUCAGGAAUUAUUUCAUGCACAUACGUCAUAUUAAGGAAUUAUUUCAUGUGCAUACGUCACAAUGAGGAAUCAUUUCAUGUGCAUAUCUCACACUGAGGAAUUAUUGCAUGAGCACACUGCACAGUGAGGAAUUAUUUCAUGCCUAUACCCCACAGUGAUGAAUUAUUUCACAUGCAUACCUCACAGUGGGGAUUUAUUUCAUGUGCAUAUGUCACAGUGAGGAAUUAUUUAAUGUGAAUAUCUGACAAUGAUGAAUUAUUCAAUGUGCAUACCUCACGGUGAGGAAUUAUUUCACAUUCAUAUCUCACAGUGAGGAUUCAUUUCCUAUGAAACCUCACAGUAAGGAAUUAUUUCAUGUGCAUACCUCACAGUGAAGAUUUAUUUCAUUUGCAUACCUCACAGUUAGGAAUAAUUUCAUGCCUCUACCUCACAGUGAGGAAUUAUUACAUGUGCAUACAUCACAAUGAGUAAUUAUUUCAUGUGCGUAUCUCACAAUGAGCAAUUAUUUAACGUGCAUCCGUCACAGUGAGGAAUUAUUUCAUGUGCAUACAUCACAAUGAGGAUUUAUUUCACAUGCAUACCACACACUGAGGAAUUAUUUCAAGUGCAUACCUAACAGUUAGGAAUUAUUUCACAUGCACCCUGCACAGUGAUGGAUUCUUUCACAUGCAUACCUCACAGUGAGGAUUUAUUUGUUGUGUAUAUCUCACAGUGAGGAUUUAUUUCACAUGCAAACCUCACAAUGAGGAAUUAUAUCAUGCCUGUACUUCACAGUGAAGCAUUAUUUCACAUGCAUAACUCACAGUGAGAAAUUAUUUCACGUGCAUACCUCACGUUGAUGAAUUAUUUCACAUGCAUACCUCACAGUGAGGAUUUAUUUCAUGCGCAUAUGCCAUAGUCAGGAAUUAUUUCAAGUGCAUGUUUCACAAUGAUGUGUUGUUUAACGUGCAUAUCUCUCACAGUGAGGAAUUAUUUCAAGUGCAUACCUCACAGUUAGGAAUUAUUUCACAUGCACCCUGCACAGUGAUGGAUUCUUUCACAUGCAUACCUCACAAUGAGGAAUUAUUUCUUGUGCAUAUCUCACAGUUAGGAAUUAUUUCAUGCCUGUACCUCACAGUGAAGAAUUAUUUCAUGGGCAUACCUCACAUUGAGGAUUUAUUUCAUGUGUGUACCUCACAGUGGGGAAUUAUUUCAUGUGCAUACAUCACAAUGAGGAAUUAUUUCAUGCCCUUAAGUCACAGUGAGGAAUUAUUUUACUUGCACCCUGCACAGGGAUGAAUUAUUUCACAUCCAUACCUCACAAUGAGGAAUUAUUUCUUGUGCAUAUGCCACAGUGAGGAUUUAUUUCACAUGAAUACCUCACAAUGAGGAAUUAUUUCUCAUGCAUAUCUCACAGUGAGGAUUUUUUCAAAUGCAUACCUCACUGUGAGGAAUUAUUUCAUGCCUCUACCUCACAGUGAAUAGCUAUUUCACGUGCAUUCCUCACAGUGAGGAAUUAUUUCACAUGCAUACCCACAGUGAAGAUUUAUUUCAUUUGCAUACCUCACAGUUAGGAAUAAUUUCAUGCCUCUACCUCACAGUGAGGAAUUAUUACAUGUGCAUACAUCACAAUGAGUAAUUAUUUCAUGUGCGUAUCUCACAAUGAGCAAUUAUUUAACGUGCAUCCGUCACAGUGAGGAAUUAUUUCAUGUGCGGAGGAAUUAUUUCAUGUGCGUACCUCACAGUGAGGAAUUAUUUCACAUGCAUACUUCACAGUAGCUUUUUUCCACACUCUAGGAGGGUUGCAGAGGAAUAAAGGGCACCCAAAGCAACGGCAUCAGAAAUAGGACCACACCAGGACUGUUUCUAGUAAUCAAGUUGUCAGUGCUGGAGCCUGGGAGAAUUGUAGUAUCCUGUGUCCUGAGAGAGUUGCAUAUAUUGUGUUCAGGCGUGGGUCAGGGUGAGCUCAGAUGAGGCAGGGAAUGCUCGGGGACCUGUUCUUCAGGGAAGCAGUGCCUUAUCACAGCCUGUGCCAUACUCCUUGGUGUGGGAGAGUGACUGACAGGAUUCAGUAAAUUUGAAUCUGAAGUAACAGCAUGGAAGUGUAGUGCUUGUCUUCUCGUGAUGAGUAUAUUUGUAGAAAUAAGAAUACAUUUCCUAGCUCUGAGCACUGAGAAGCCCAAGGACAAUGACUAACUCGGCGGUAAGAAACAACCCCAGCUCCCACACUGUGGUCUUUAAAUACUAUUUACCACUACCAGUUUCCAUGGGAAUUUGUAGAAGUGUGUGGGUGAGACUGGGACAGCGUCUCUCUCCAGAGAGCUAUGAAGUACCAGGAGAGUCAGUCAGAAGGACUCAAGGGCAGCUUGCGUAAGCCCCUCUGGUCAUGCUGAAACACAUCAGAUAAGCUCAGUUCCACAAACUCAUAAGGACACUAGGAAGCCACCUCUGGAAGGCACCAAGCAAUGAACCCGAAAAUGCAAAAAGGGAAACAAUCAGUUCUGCCUCUGUGUAAACCAUGCUUCAGGGCCAGCAAACGAUUUGGUGAGGAAAAGUUUCCCUUCAUAGAAGAUUUGUGCCCCUGUUUUUAUUGAGACAGUCUUGCUAUGUAGACAGGGUUGAACUUGUGAUCCAGCUAUAUCAGCCUCUUGAGGGUUGGGAUCACAACAGUGUGCUUUCUGAUAAUGCCCAGCUCUUCACAAAAGUUUUCCAGUUCUAUGUCAGAAUCAGAACAUGACCAUUCCCAACCGCUAAUGAAUUCAUGGGUCUUGUCAAUGGCCUUCAGUCCAGGUUUGUAUCACCCAGAGAACAGGAGGAAGACCAAAUGUGCUUCCUGAUGGAAAACCCAUUUCUUUUGCAAUAGUCUUGUCAAAGAAUCAGACCUGAAUUUGAUCUAUAAAUCCAUCAGCAGGUUUAUAGAAAACAGAUACCACAAGUGGGGGAUACAGAUAGCAAAACCCUGACUGGUGCUUUAAUAAUGAUAGCAACAAAUGCAAAGGGGGAAAUUAGAAAAGAAAAUUUAUAGAAACUUAAGCAAUAGAUUAGCUAGCAGCAAUAUAGAGAACGUGUUCGUGUCCCAAUUCAAUCAAGUAAGUCCUAAGAAAAGCGAUGACAGUUGGGGAAACGUGGACGCUGGCGAGAUGCGUGACGAUAUAAUGAGUCAUUGCUGUUGUUCCUUUUUUCCUGGUAUAUGCCUCAGUCUUGUUUAAAGACAGAGUCCUUAUCUUUAAAGAGAUAGUACUAUUGGCAGGUGAAAUGGAAUGACAGCUUGGCAUUUGCUGAGCAGUUCGUCAUGAGGGGAGGAGCCAUCGGAUGCAGAGAACAGUGAUGGCUCUGGGUUCAGGUAUUUGCUGGAACUUGUAGUAUAGGCGGGUGUUCUUUUAGUUUGUUUUCUUAGGUUUAUGUGGACAUUUGUCAUAAUAGAAAGCCAGAAUGGAAAGAAUCAAAUAAAAGUUUUCAGACAAUCUCUUAUACUCAAGGAUAUUCUACGGAAACCUUAAUUCAAAGGGGCAUUGUCCUAGGUAGACGAUCAGAAAAUAUAAAAGGAGUGGUGAUCUGGGCAUGGUUGCACAUGCCUGGAAUUCUAGCACCUUAGAGGUGGAGGCAGAAAGAUCACAUCCUCAACUAUGUAGUGUGUUUGCAUUCAGCUUUGGCUACAGGAGACUCUUGUUUUAAAAAACUAAAACCAAGCAAAGAAAAGGAAAUGAAGAAAAUGCAAAUCCAAAUGAACACUGAUUAUGUAAAAAAGUCAUUAUAAACUACCUAUGAACUCUAAGAAUUACAGCACAAACAAGCAAAUUCCCUGUAACCAGGGAACUGACAAAGGGGAAGUUUAAAUGGCUCAGGUCCUUGUGUGGCCUGACCUAGAAUUAGGUAUUAAGUUGCACUGGGAUCCGGCAAGUUUUGGGUUCAUAACACAGCUUCCCGGGGAACAAUUUCAAGAAUACUCAAAGUACAUAUGAGUCCAGUGCUAACUAUGGGGAGAAAAACUGGAAGAUGUGACUAGAGAGAUGAUCAGCUCUUCAGAGGACUCUCAGUUCAGCUCCCAGCACCCACACGGCAGUUCACAAUGGUCUGUUACUCUGGCUCCCAGGAAUCCGAUGCCCUUUUCUGGUCUCUGUGGAUACCAGACACAAAUAUGGCACUCACAUAUGUAUGCAUGCAAGCGUGCAUACAUAUACAAAAAACAGGAAUUGGGAGGAAUGGAAGGACACACCUCUCCCUGCAACCAAAGGCAAAAAAUAAAAAUAAUAUCAAACUGUAUGCUAUUUACAAGGCAUGAAUCUAAAAUGCAAAGUUACUUUGAAAGAAUGAAAAGCUUGGUGCAUGCAAAUACUAAAUAAUAAACUAAUAGGGCAGUGAUAUUAAUAUUAAAUGAAGCAAAUUCAAGACAAAAACAUAGACAGAAACAGAGGGUUAUGAAAAAUACUAAACGUUAAUAAUGUUUAGUGACAUUUAUGUAUGUGGGGGAUGCUGUGGAUGAGAGUGUACUGGAUGACAUGUGUGGAACAACUUGUGGAAGGUGGUCCUCUCCUACAGUGUGGGUCCCAGGAAUCAAACUCAUGGAAGACCAAACAGUAGGCGCUCUUAACCCACUGAACCACCUCACCAGCCCUCAAAGUGCACUAAACGUUUUGAUUACUGUGAGAGUCUGUGUAUUUCUUCCCCCUGGGUGGGGUUGGGGGGAUACAGGGUGGUUGGGACAGCCAGGUGGACCUGGUGGCUGCCAGUCUGGUUGAUUUGUUUGCUAGAUAGCAGUUAUCUGGGUUUUCUGGAUAUAGGAUAAGCUACUUCUGGCCUUCCUCAUGUCACAUUUCAUCAUAAGGAGGUUUGUUGUUGUUUCAGUGAGUUAAAGGUGAGGGUGUUGUGUUCUGGACAAUCAUGUUAGCUCUGUGUUCACAAAUUACCUAGCAACAGGUAAGUCACUUUACAUGUGUUAACUCACUCAGCCCUCCUAGGGACCCCGUGAGGUGGAUUCUAUUUUCUGUCCUCAUUUUAAGAACUGAAAAUCAGGCAAAAGCCAGUGGAGGAACUAGUUCACAGCCCAAGAACCAGAGAGGGAAUGGGCAAGAUUGGAGCCCAGCCCUGCUGCUGUGCCGACCAUUUAUAUCUCUGAACGAAUCUCUCCUAUCAGCACAUCGGAAAAGACACACUGAAGAGCAGUCAGCUGGAAGACCAAAGGGGUUAGAAAAAGAGAUAUCCUGUUCUGCUUUCCUGUCUCACCACUGUGAAGCUGUCCUCCAUGGGGUCCUCACCAGAAUGGAGCAGAGACCAACAUCCUGCUUCCAGAUCUCCAGGACUGUAAACUAGGUGCUGAACAAUGGAUAUAAAGGCUCGACUUCAAGCUGGUUAAGGACUGUUUUCACAUCACCACUUGUCUGGAGGUUUCUUUUUCUUGACAUAAAUGAUUUUGAAUGGUCAGUCUACAAUACACAUACUACAUUUUUUCACUGACAAUUCUACUGUUGGUCUAGGCCCCACCAUGGUGUCUAGGACUGCACAUAUAUAGUAUAAUAAUAAUAUAACAAGCACAUGUUAUAUAACUUUAUAUGAAUGAGUGUUUUGUCUACGUGUAUAUCUGUGUACCAUCUACAUGCCUGGUACCCUUGGAUUUCUCCAGGACCGGAGUUAUAGCUUGUUGUAAGUCACUGUGUGUGUCCUGGAAACUAAACCUAGGUCCUCUGGAAGAGCAGCCAAUACUCUUAGCUGCUGAGCCAACUCUUCAGAGCAUCACACAUAUAUAAGUUAGCUGUCUGUUCUUAUUGUAUCCUCAUUAUUACAGGAUAUUGUCAACUAUUAAAAGCACUCCCCAUAGAGAUAAA